UGCUACUGCUUGGGCCAUGUGGCAGAGAAGAUCGGCGUGACCUCCGCGGCCAAAGGAGCGGAAUGCGAGCGGCCGAAUAAUUUGCAGCUCUGGUGAUCGGAGAUGGCUCCAUUACCAGCAACAGCAGGAGGAGGAUGUCAUCUCUUUAAUUCCUUAUAUGCUUACCAUUUUCUUUCAACCUUAAUAUAUAUAGCAAUCUGCCCAGAACAUCUGCUACAAAUCCCGUGCCUAAUUGAAAAUUGUGACUUUCUGGA